GGGGUUGUGACUCAGUGAUAGAGCACUUGCCUAGCACAUGCAAGGCGCUGGGUUCAAUCCUCAGCCCCA
rnacentral:tRNA from 1 species